AGAGUUUGAUCAUGGCUCAGAAUGAACGUUGGCGGCGUGGAUUAGGCAUGCAAGUCGAGCGCGAUAUGUAGCAAUACAUGGAGAGCGGCGAAAGGGAGAGUAAUACGUAGGUAUCUACCCUCGGGUCUGGGAUAGCAGCGGGAAACUGCUGGUAAUACCAGAUAACGUCUCCGGACCAAAGGUGUGAUUCCACCUGAGGAGGAGCCUACGGCCUAUUAGCUAGUUGGUAGGGUAACGGCCUACCAAGGCAAAGAUGGGUAUGGGGUGUGAGAGCAUGCCCCCACUCACUGGGACUGAGACACUGCCCAGACACUUACGGGUGGCUGCAGUCGAGAAUCUUCGGCAAUGGGCGAAAGCCUGACCGAGCGACGCCGCGUGCGGGAUGAAGGCCUUCGGGUUGUAAACCGCUGUCGUAGUGGAGGAAAUGUAGGAGAGUUAUCUCUUCUACUUGACUAAUACUAGGAGGAAGGACCGGCUAAUCUCGUG
rnacentral:rRNA from 1 species